rnacentral:rRNA from 1 species
GGUAAUGAGGAACGACCGGAGCCGAAGCGAAAGCGAGUCUUAAGAGGGCGAAAGUAGGAUGUUGCAGACCCGAAACCGGGUGAUCUAUCCAUGAGCAGGUUGAAGUUGAGGUGAAACUCAAUGGAGGACCGAACCGACUACCGUUGAAAAGUUAGCGGAUGACUUGUGGCUAGGGGAGAAAUUCCAAUCGAACCCGGAGAUAGCUGGUUCUCCCCGAAAUAGCUUUAGGGCUAGCGUCGGAAAGAACCUUAGUGAAGGUAGAGCACUGAAUGUGUGAUGGCCCCAUCCCGGGGUACUGAAUACAAUCAAACUGCGAAUGUCAUUAAGGAUGUCCGGCAGUCAGACUGUGAGUGAUAAGGUCCAUGGUCAAGAGGGAAACAGCCCAGACCGCCAGUUAAGGUCCCAAAAUACAGGCUAAGUGGAAAAGGAUGUGGGGAUGCCCAGACAACUAGGAGGUUGGCUCAGAAGCAGCCAUCCUUUAAAGAGUGCGUAACAGCUCACUAGUCGAGUGACCCUGCGCCGAAAAUGUACCGGGGCUAAGCCUGAUACCGAAACUGCGGAUUGUAGGAAACUAUAGUGGUAGGGGAGCGUUGUAUACGAGCAGAAGCCGUACCGUGAGGAGCGGUGGAUUGUAUAGAAGUGAGAAUGCCGGUGUGAGUAGCGAGAUGUAGGUGAGAAUCCUACACACCGAAAGCCCAAGGAUUCCAGGGGAAGGUUCGUCCGCCCUGGGUAAGUCGGGACCUAACGCGAGGCCGAAAGGCGUAGUGGAUGGAAAGCAGGCGAAAGAUUCCUGCACCCGUAUAUGGAGCGAAGGAGUGACGGAGACGGAUAGUGUGACCCUCUUAAUGGAUUGAGGGCGAAGCGAAGCGGCUGGUUACCAGGCAAAUCCGGUAACCUUAAGGCUAGAGCGUGACAGGUAAGCGAAAUCUACGGAAAGUAGCGAAGCACAUGAUGACGGCUUCCAGGAAAAGCUUCUGGCAAUGCAUAUGCGGCCCGUACCAAAACCGACACAGGUGGGCAGGGAGAGAAUCCCGAGGUGAGCGAGAGAACUGUUGCCAAGGAACUCGGCAAAAUGACUCCGUAAGUUAGCGAGAAGGAGUGCUUAAGCAAUUAAGCCGCAGUGAAGAGGCCCAAGCGACUGUUUAACUAAAACACAGCUCUCUGCGAAGUCGCAAGACGAAGUAUAGGGGGUGACACCUGCCCGGUGCUGGAAGGUUAAGAGGAUCUGUUAAGAGCGAUCUGAAGCAGUGAUCCGAAGCCCCAGUGAACGGCGGCCGUAACUAUAACGGUCCUAAGGUAGCGAAAUUCCUUGUCAGGUAAGUUCUGACCCG